ACUACCCGAGAAGUGUUGUCUGCUGUGUCACAUGCACAUCAAAAGGUGAAACAGAGAGAUGCUAUAUUUAUAUUUAGUGUUCUGACUAUGGACAUCUCAAUGAUUAGUAGUUUACCACU
ensembl:snoRNA LOC120097264 small nucleolar RNA SNORA17